CAGCAGCUGAAGAUUGGCAGCUGAAGAGAAGGAGACAUUUCAAUCUGCUAUACUGCCAACUGAUUUUCCUCGCUUUCUCAGUGAUUCAGCUUCAGUUCUAUCACCAACAUGAUUUCCCUUCGUUCAAGCGAAUUUCCUCUCUCUUAACUAAUCAAUAUGGCAUUCCAGCCAUGGAUGUUCUGGUCGCUAGUGAGGCUAAUCAGUGCACUAAUGUCUCAGCCGACUGCCUCAGUCACAACUUUAUUGUAUUACAGCAAUCUUCUUCCUAGAAACUUGAAUUUAGAGCGGUUGGUUCGACCUGAAUUGCUUGAUGGAGAGAACCGUUUGUUCCUUUUUCUCAUAGAUUUCUUAAGAUGUCUCUGAGCUAUCGGAUCUCUUACUGCAAAAUGAUCCUUGCUGGAUCCGAAAGAAAGGGGUUGGGCUAUGAUGGUGCAGAUUGAUAUGGACGGUGGCACAGUUGAGGGAGCUCUGGUGGUGGUGGUGCCAGAGCAGAAGUAAGUGCUAGCUCAUCGGAAAGAAGACCCCGAUGCCUUGUUGGACUGCCACGAUCGCAUGGCGAAGGAGCAUUGGUCAGCACUCAGCAGGGGCGGAGCUACCUAGGCCCAUGGGCCAGAGAGGAGCUUGGCUCUCGAAGAUUUAAUUUAGUCCCUAUAGUCUUAUAGGUUUUUCAUACAUAUCCUUACAAUUUAUAAUUUUGCCUCGUAAAUAAUUAUAGUUAAGUACUAGUUUUAAAACCCGCAUUAUGUCAUGGAUAGAGUUCCAAGCUAAUUCUUCACAUAUACGGUAAGAAUGUAUCAGUCUUAGAAUGUGUUUUAUUAUAUCAUUUUUUUUAAUUAAGAAAUGAGAAGAUGUUAUUUAUGUUUAUUGAAAAACAUUUUAAAAAAAUUGAAUCAAUCAAUUGUGAAAAAGUUGUUAAUAA